GCCAAGGGACUAUAUGCACUCCAUCUGGAAUUAGCAGAUUCCUCUUUGUUCAAUUGUUCCUAAAUUUGGAACCAUCUGACUUGCUUAAAAGUAUUUUGAUUUUCUUUUAAAUAAAUAUGGGAAAUAAACAUAGCCCGGGACCUUCAGAGAGGUGCGUUAUUAGUCUUUUCCCUGGCUCCACGAGCCACACAAGUCUUAAAGAGGCAUUUGCCAAUUUUGAUGCUUGCUCUUUGUUUAUGCUAACAAUUUAUUUGGAGUGGCCCAUCGUUUUUGCUUCCCUUUUAUAAAUAGUAUCAAAGAAAUCAGGGACGGAAAAAGAACUAUUAGGUCAUCAAACCUGCUCUACUGCCAGUGUAGGCUUGUUCUUCACAGUGUAUUUUUUUCCAUUUAUUUGUCCAGGUUAAACUUGGAAUUAAGUGUAAGGUCUGUAGGUCUGGUGAGAGGUACAAGAACAAGUGGAGAUUUUACUCUUUUCUCCUCUCUUUACUACACAAGAUAGCUUAUUUCCACUCCCACCUUUCCUUCAGAAACAAGUGUAAUGUCAAAAGAUCAAGUAGACGCUUUCUCUUUGCAGGUGUUGUAGAUCACUGCUUCAUUCCUGUAAAAAUUUAAUUUUUGCUUGGGGAAAGCAAAAAAAAGGAAGAGAAAACAACACUUUGCUUAUCUUCCCUAUGCUCUAUAGCACCAAAGAAAACCAGAGACCAAACCACCUGCUUGUCCGGGAGAAGUGUUCACUUGCUUGUUGAUUCACUGCUGCUUAUGUUCCCUGGCUGCAAUCACAGCACAGUUUCCCCUUCAGAAGUUUAGAAUCGUGGAGAAGAUGAGAUGUGAGCUUUGGCUGCCCUGGGCAGAUUCUUCUGUGAGCCUGUGGAUUUAGUUUCUACAGAGCUCAGCCACCUGCACCAGUCAGUGAUGGGGACUUCUCAAAGAAAUGAUUCUAAAUUCUCCCAGUGCUGAGUUAGCAUACUCCAAGAGGAACCCACCAGUUACAGAGGGCUUCAUAUUACUGGUCCAGAAGCAAUUUCAGUGUCAAAACUGCUCCAGGAACAAGGGAGAAGACACUUCAAAUCAACUAUGGCUUUCCCAACAGCCUUUUCCUGGAAAGGAGAUUUUCUUCUACAAAAGAAAUUUUUACAGAAAGAUUCUGAUACGGUCAACUAACUAGAGCAUCUGGUGUAUGCAGCUGGUCUAAGGUGGUUUUGCUGGUUGAGGAUUUGUGUCGGAAUGACCUGCAGAACUGAGUCCUUAGUUUGCAAACAUAAGUGAUGACUUUGGGUCAGCAAUGACUGAGGAUUUCACCUGGCGGGCAGCAAACUUCAGUUCAUAAGAAGAAAUUUCAAAGGUGAGCUUCGUGACGCUUUGAACAAGGAGGAAAACACUGGAGCUUUCCAUCAAAGCUGUGAGCCAAGCCAGGUUCCCAUCUGUGUGCUCUGCUCUACUUGAGAGGUACAUGUGCCAUUACUAAGGAUGGAUGAUGGAGUAAUGCCAAGGUGUCAUAGCCAAAAGAUGCAUGACUUCUCCCUUCAGACCUG